rnacentral:rRNA from 1 species
UUUUUUGAGAGUUUGAUCCUGGCUCAGGACGAACGCUGGCGGCGUGCCUAACACAUGCAAGUCGAACGGGGUUGAGUGCUUCGGUAUUCAACCUAGUGGCGAACGGGUGAGUAACGCGUGAAGAACCUGCCUUUCAGUGGGGGA